AAUGGCAGGUCAGCAUACUGCCGUGAAUACGUUCCCGGGCCCUUGUACACACCGCCCGUCACACCAUGAGAGUUGGGAAUACCCGAAGCCUGUGAGCUAACUUUACGAGGCAGCAGUCGAAGGUAGAAUCAAUGAUUGGGGUGAAGUCGUAACAAGGUAUC
rnacentral:rRNA from 1 species